CCUACGGGUGGCUGCAGUGGGGAAUAUUGGGCAAUGGGCGCAAGCCUGACCCAGCAACGCCGCGUGAAGGAAGAAGGCUUUCGGGUUGUAAACUUCUUUUGUCAGGGACGAAGCACGUGACGGUACCUGACGAAUAAGCCACGGCUAACUACGUGCCAGCAGCCGCGGUAAUACGUAGGUGGCAGGCGUUAUCCGGAUUUACUGGGUGUAAAGGGCGUGUAGGCGGGACUGCAAGUCAGAUGUGAAAACCACGGGCUCAACCUGUGGCCUGCAUUUGAAACUGUAGUUCUUGAGUACUGGGGAGGCAGACGGAAUUCCUAGUGUAGCGGUGAAAUGCGUAGAUAUUAGGAGGAACACCAGUGGCGAAGGCGGUCUGCUAGACAGCAACUGACGCUGAGGCGCGAAAGCGUGGGGAGCAAACAGGAUUAGAUACCCCGGUAGUC
rnacentral:rRNA from 1 species